rnacentral:tRNA from 1 species
GGGGCGUCGACAAGUGGUAAGUCACAAGGUUUUGGUCCUUGCAUUCGAAGGUUCGACCCCUUCCGCCCCAGCCA